UUACAGAGUUGUAAAAUUUCCAAACCCAUGUGAACAUACCUGUUGCCUCGGCGGCCUACGCGGCAGCUACCCUGUAGCUACCCUGUAGUCCGCCGACGGAUUUUACAAAAACUCUUGUUUUCAGUUGUAUCUCUGAGAAUAAAACAAAUAAGUCAAAACUUUCAACAACGGAUCUCUUGGUUCUGGCAUCGAUGAAGAACGCAGCGAAAUGCGAUAAGUAAUGUGAAUUGCAGAAUUCAGUGAAUCAUCGAAUCUUUGAACGCACAUUGCGCCCAUUAGUAUUCUAGUGGGCAUGCCUGUUCGAGCGUCAUUAAUUCCACUUAAGCCUAGCUUAGUGUUGGGAGACUGCUCCAGCGGUGCUACCCUGUAGCUACCCUGCAGCUCCUCAAAGACAGCGGCGGAGUUGUGGUAUCCUCUGAGCUUAGUAACUUGUUCUAGCUUUCGAGUACACCACUUCCCCUGCCGUAAAACCCUUAAUUUUUAAUGGUUGACCUCGGAUCAGGUAGGAAUACCC
rnacentral:rRNA from 1 species